AGUGAACGCUGGCGGUAGGCCUAACACAUGCAAGUCGAACCGCAGCACAGUAAGAGCUUGCUCUUACGGGUGGCGAGUGGCGGACGGGUGAGGAAUUCAUCGGAAUCUACUUUUUCGUGGGGGAUAACGUAGGGAAACUUACGCUAAUACCGCAUACGACCUACGGGUGAAAGCAGGGGAUCUUCGGACCUUGCGCGAUUGAAUGAGCCGAUGUCGGAUUAGCUAGUUGGCGGGGUAAAGGCCCACCAAGGCGACGAUCCGUAGCUGGUCUGAGAGGAUGAUCAGCCACACUGGAACUGAGACACGGUCCAGACUCCUACGGGAGGCAGCAGUGGGGAAUAUUGGACAAUGGGCGCAAGCCUGAUCCAGCCAUACCGCGUGGGUGAAGAAGGACUUCGGGUUGUAAAGCCCUUUUGUUGGGAAAGAAAAGCAGCAGGUUAAUACCCCGCUGUUCUGACGGUACCCAAAGAAUAAGCACCGGCUAACUUCGUG
rnacentral:rRNA from 1 species